CCAAAGAAAAUGAACCUGACUUGGUGGCCAUAGCUCAAAAGGAAGCGGAGAAUGAUGCCAAAGCGGAGGAGCGCUUUAGAGGAGCCCUCGAGGAGCUGAAAUCACAAAAGCUCAAAGACAGUGAGAUGCAAAACCGGUACACUUCAGAUGUGAGAGACAGAAUGUGAAAACAAAAAUCCAGGAAUUCACAUUGUAGGAAUUUUAAAUAAUUUAUCUGUAAAUUAAGGUGGAAAAUAAGUAUUUGGUCAAUAACAAAAAUUCAACUCAAUACUUUGUAAUAUAACCCCACGGGAUGAGAUCUUGCAUGGAGCCCCAGAGCGAGGGAGAUUAUCAGUGGUCUUGUAUGUCUUCCAUUUUCUGAUAAUUGCUCCCACAGUUAUUUUUUUCACACCAAGCUGCUUGCCUAUUGUAGAUUCACUCUUCCCAGUUUGGUGCAGGUCUACAAUUCUUUUCCUGGUGUCCUUCGACAGCUCUUUGGUCUUGGCCAUAGUGGAGUGCGGAGUCUGACUGUUUGAGGCCGUGGACAGGGGUCUUUUAUACAGAUAACGAGUUCAAACAGGUUCCAUUAUUACAAGUAACGAGUGGAGGACAGACGAGCUUCUUAAAGAAGAAGUUACAGGUCUGUGAGAGUCAGGGAUCUUCCUUGUUUGAAGUGACCAAAUACUUAUUUUCCACCAUAAUUUACAAAUAAAUUCUUUAAAAUUCCUACAGUGUGAAUUCUUGAAUU